rnacentral:piRNA from 1 species
GUCUCAUUCUCUGCACUUUGACCAGUUG